rnacentral:rRNA from 1 species
GACGUAGGGGGCAAGCGUUGUCCGGAAUCAUUGGGCGUAAAGCGCUCGUAGGCGGACCUUUAAGUCUGUGAAGAAAGACCCGGGCUCAACUCGGGGAACGGCAUAGAUACUAUUGGUCUUGAGGUAGUCAGAGGAUGAUGGAAUUCCCAGUGUAGUGGUGAAAUACGUAGAGAUUGGGAAGAACACCAGUGGCGAAGGCGGCUAUCUGGACGGUUUCUGACGCUAAGACGCGAAAGCGUGGGGAGCAAACAGG